rnacentral:rRNA from 1 species
AGUAAUGUAUAGCAAUAGCUAGUUGCAUCAUUGUAAUGAUGAUGCAAUAUUGACUAUGUUGAAUAAAAUUCUAGGUAGAAUUAUGAUAAUGACAUUGUCUGCCUAUGUGUCUUGACCAAAUUACGUGCCAGCAGUCGCGGUAAUACGUAGAAGACUAGUGUUAUUCAUGUUUAAUCGGUUUAAAGGGUACCUAGACGGCAGAUCAAGCUUUCCGAGAAGAAAAAAAAGAGAAAAAAGGACUAAUUUGCUAGAGUUACUUACGAGGGGGUUUUAAAGUACUGCUGGUGUAGAGAUGAAAUUCUGUCAUACCUCUUUUCGAAAGAAAAAUGAUGGCACAGGUAUAGGCGAAGGCAUCCCCUUAUGUGAUAACUGACGUUGAGGGACGAAGGCUUUAUAUAACGAACAGGAUUAGAUACCCCAGUAGUGGAAGCAGUAAAUGAUGAAUGUCAUAGAUUAGCUAGAUAGGUUCAUUCUAUAAAUGAAAGUGUAAGCAUUCCACCUCAUGAGUAAUUUGGCAACAUUGGAAUUGAAAUCAUUAGACCGUUUCUGAAACCAGUAGUGAAGUAUGUUGUUUAAUUUGAUGAUCCGCAAAAAACCUUACCACAAUUUGAAUAUUUAUAUUUUUUUUUAUUGUUUUCUUAUUAAUUUUCUUCUCUUUAAUUUAAUAACAAAGUAUUAAAGAAAAGAGGAAAAUAUUUAAUGCAGAGGCAAUAAGAUAUAUUUACAAGCGUUGCACGGCUGUCUUCAGUUAAUGUCGUGAGACUUUGGUUAGAUCCAUUAAAUUAACGUAAACCCUUACUUUAUUUUUAGAUAGAGUUGUUCCCCACUAUAUUGGAUAAGAU